rnacentral:rRNA from 1 species
UGUCUGAUUAGCUAGUUGGUGAGGUAAAGGCUUACCAAGGCUUCGAUCAGUAGCUGGUCUGAGAGGACGACCAGCCACACUGGGACUGAGACACGGCCCAGACUCCUACGGGAGGCAGCAGUGGGGAAUUUUGGACAAUGGGGGAAACCCUGAUCCAGCCAUGCCGCGUGAGUGAAGAAGGCCUUCGGGUUGUAAAGCUCUUUCAGCCGGAACGAAACGGUCACGGUUAAUACCUGUGAUCACUGACGGUACCGGAAGAAGAAGCACCGGCUAACUACGUGCCAGCAGCCGCGGUAAUACGUAGGGUGCGAGCGUUAAUCGGAAUUACUGGGCGUAAAGCGUGCGCAGGCGGUUUUGUAAGUCAGAUGUGAAAUCCCCGGGCUUAACCUGGGAACUGCGUUUGA